rnacentral:lncRNA from 1 species
UCCCUGUUAAUUAUGUCAAAUAUACCUUAAGUACACAUGUACAUUUAGAAAAAUGCUCGCGUUAAAAGGUAGACUCAGUGAAAUGAUGUUGCCACGAGCAGAACCGCAGAUAUCGAUAUGCAAGACUUCGCUCUCACACAGUCACACAUGGUAUCGUCCCAUGUGCACGGGUUCGCUUCAUGUAAUUCCAGCGUGAUUGCCACACGACUAAAACAGAGGAGAAGUUGAACCUCGCGCUUCAAAGUUUUUGAGGGAUUUGACCCACUAUGUUUACUUUUUGCAUCUACGUCAUAUCGCUGAGUCUAUAACUAAAAUAAAACGUAGAAAAAGGCAACAAAGAUAUUAUUUUACUUCUUCAUGGUCUAAAAAUUCAAAAGGCAAUCGCACAUCUGAGCUAUCUUUGUUGCAGAUGCACGGUAACAGAUGAAUACUCCAACCCCAUUCCAUGCAUUGAACGGAUGUGGGUGGAGCAAUGUCUACAUAAGGGUGCAAAAUAAAAAACACUCACAAAAGCUCUGACGAAGGCCUUAAGGCCGAUACGUAAAGCUUAAUAACGAGCAGUGAUACGAGCAAGGGAAGUGUGCAGGUUUCUUAUUUUCUCUCACUUCUUCACGGUCUCUCAGUAGUUGGUUCGUCGAAGAUGUGUUUCACAAACUGAGGCAAUGUUCAAUGAGUGGUUUAUCUCCCCAUCUUGUCAGCAGCAGACAAACAACUUAAAACAAACAAGUCUUGUCUUGUAUAAAUUUGAAUCGGUAACAGAGUUGAACCGGUGAGUUGGAAUCAGUGACGGUUGUAUGAAGUCAUGAAAUCCAAUCACAUGCUUACAGGGGAGAGAAAAUAAUUGUACAUGUUUACAACAACCCAAAAUCAUCAAUAAAACCAACAGAAUCCAAUCCAGUGUAUAAUUAAGCAAUAAGGCCUGAGGGGGUGUGGUAUAUGGCCAAUAUACCGCGGCUAAAGGCUGCUCUUAAGCACGUCGCAACACAAGAGUUUGACCUGUUUUCUAUUGAUAGUUCUUUGUAUAUCUCCAUAAAAAUUAUGCUGAUUCAUGAUUUCGACUGGCUAAGAAAUACUGCCUGCCUGUCUGUCUCAUCCCGACUCCGGCCACGUUCAUUACUAUGCAACAGCUGGAGAUCGAAUUUCAAUAUUGAAACAAUGUUGCAAAUGUCGGAGAGACAGACAGCAAGGUUUGUACAACUCUCUGCUGUUUAAAAAUAAAUGUAAGUCUAAAAGAAAUGUGAGAUAAUGACUAGAUGCUUUUUAUAGUGGAGAUCAAGUUCAUAAAUUGCCUGGCUGGGCUGAUGAGACAGUGGAUUGCAGCAGUCAGAUGGAACAGAGUAAAUACUAGGCAUUUUAACUUCAUAGAUUUAGCCAGUGGUAACUUGUGGAAUAGACACCGGCUGGAAUGCGGUUUUAACCAAUCAGCAUUCAGGAUUAGACCCACCCGUUGUAUAAUGUUUUACACAAUGGGUGGGUCUAAUGCUGAUCGACUUCUUCUCGGGCCUAACAACACCCGUGCCAAUUUACCCUCCAAACACCGGCUUCUCGGGCAUUAUCACUUUAGUAUACCACGGGUAUGACAAAACAUUUAUUUUUACAGCUCUAAUUACAUUGGUAACCAGUUUAUAAUAGCUAUAAGACACCUCGGGGGUUUGUGGUAUAUGGCCAUAUAUACCACGGCUAAGGGCUGUAUCCAGGCGUUGCAUCGUGCAUAAGAACAGCCCUUAGCCGUGGUAUAUUGGCCAUAUACCACACCCCCUCGGGCCUUAUUGCUUAAAUAAAAACAGUCUGGAAUGCGGUUUUAACCAAUCAGCAUCCAGGAUUAGACCCGCCUGUUGUAUAAAAAAACCAUAGAAACCGGAGUGUAUAAAACAAACACAGAAAACACCUGUCCAUUUAAAACAACAAAGUCAGUGUCUAAAGCACCACUAGAAUAAUCAUCCGUGGUAGUUAGACCCAGGGAGGUCCUGGUCCUGGAGCUGCUCAGGGACCCAAGGCAGGGAUGUGGACCCAAUAGCCUACUCUGUGACAGGGAGGGCUGGGGAGGAUGACUGGGCCGUGUCCCGGGGGGACAGGAACUCUCCGUGUCCUGGAGGGAAUGGCUGUAUGGAUGGGGUGCAAUCCCCUGGGUGAGUGGAUAGCGAGUGUACGGGAGGGGCUGGGGUUUGAACCCGAUAGGGUUAGUGGGAAAGAGGUGUGGGCCAGGGUUGGUUCUGAUCCCAUCAGAAACAAACUCGGUAAGGGUCACGGUUCAUUCUGUGGCCCUCUGGGUAAGGACCAGGGUGUGUCUCGUAACCCUGCGGACCUGUUCUAUAGGUGUCAGGGGUCAGCUGUUUGGCUCUGUAGGACCACGCUCCUCUGAACUCUGACCUCUGAACUCACACAACUGCACCUGCUAUGUCACCCAUACGAAUGCUCAUGUCUCCUCUGUGAAGGAAUGGCCCUGCCUGAUCCCUAUGAAGUGCUAUGUCAUGUCUGAGAGCUGCUGUGUCAACCUGAGCUUCUGUAAACCCCUGCGCCUGGUUCCGUUGUGGAGGCUGGCCUUGAAAAUACUGUUGGUGGUGAAAGCCAGAGUUUACCUCCCUCUCUCUCAGCUUUCCUCCCCCAUGACCCCCAUUUCUCCCCCUCCAACUCCUUCCUGAGUUUCAGCUCUGCAUUGUUCCUCUUUCUCCAUCAACUAACAGUCAGUUAGCCUCGCUCCUGUAGCAUACAGUUGUCCCUUCUCCUGUUUGGUACAUUCUGUCAGUUGAUCUUUCUCCUGUUUGGUACAUUCUGUCAGUUGUCCCUUCUCCUGUUUGGUACAUUCUGUCAGUUGUCCCUUCUCCUGUUUGGUACAUUCUGUCAGUUGUCCCUUCUCCUGUUUGGUACAUUCUGUCAGUUGAUCUUUCUCCUGUUUGGUACAUUCUGUCAGUUGUCCCUUCUCCUGUUUGGUACAUUCUGUCAGUUGAUCUUUCUCCUGUUUGGUACAUUCUGUCAGUUGAUCUUUCUCCUGUUUGGUACAUUCUGUCAGUUGAUCUUUCUCCUGUUUGGUACAUUCUGUCAGUUGAUCUUUCUCCUGUUUGGUACAUUCUGUCAGUUGAUCUGACAGAAUGUGGGAUGGGUGUGGGAUGGGGCUGGGUGGAGGCAUCUAUGGUGGGGAGUGAAGGGGUAAGGAGUGUGAAAGGGAGGUUUCCAGGCUGAAGGAGUUCCUCUCCAGCAGCAGGGGACCGUCAGUCAUAGACAGAAUCACCUUGAACACCGGCUCACAGCGAAUCACCUUCGAUGCAACCCCCUGUAGUCCCGCCUCCUCAGAACCACCCAGUGAUGUCUGACCUCCAUCUGUGACAUAAUCAGGGGUCGGUGAAAGAGAGGGGUCAUGCUGCCAUGGUAACGCUGACGCAGGACACUUUAGUGAAGCACCUUUAGUGAGAGAGGAGAGAGAGAGAAAGAGAGGAGGGGACAACGAGAGAGGGAAUGCAACAAAGAGGGAGACGGAGAGAAAGAGAGAGGACACACAGAGAAGAAUGAUAAAUGACAGUAGAGUGUGAGAUGAACAGAUGAAGACAUUUUACAGGACAACCAUUAAUGGACAGUUUUCUUGUAAAAGACCCACCUACCCCCAAUAGACAACAGCAACCUGAUUAGAAACAUGUAGCAGGGAAUGAUUCAGAGAUAGAAGGAAGUAACAUUAAAAAAUGAAUUAAGCCAACUGUCAAAUAGGCCUUUCCCACACGGUGGUGCCCAAACCAGACUUUAACCACCAGAACAAAGUUUGCGUAUCAUCCCAUGAGGUUACACAUAAACUGAAGCUGGAGACUCAUAUCUCCCUUACUAGCUUUGAGCACCAGCUGUCAGAGCAGCUCACAGAUCACUGCACCUGUACAUAGCCCAUCUGCAAAUAGCCCAUCCAACUACCUCAUCCCCAUACUGUUAUUUAUUUUAUUUAUUUUGCUCCUUUGCACCCCAGUAUCUCUACUUGCACAUUCAUCUUCUGCACAUCUAUCACUCCAGUGUUUAAUUGGUAUAUUGUAAUUACUUCGCCACCAUGGCCUA